CCUACGGGGCGCAGCAGUGAGGAAUAUUGGUCAAUGGACGCAAGUCUGAACCAGCCAUGCCGCGUGCAGGAUGACGGCUCUAUGAGUUGUAAACUGCUUUUGUACGAGGGUAAACCCCGAUACGUGUAUCGGGUUGAAAGUAUCGUACGAAUAAGGAUCGGCUAACUCCGUGCCAGCAGCCGCGGUAAUACGGAGGAUGCGAGCGUUAUCCGGAUUUAUUGGGUUUAAAGGGUGCGUAGGCGGAAUGCCAAGUCAGCGGUAAAAUCGCGGGGCUCAACCUCGCUCCGCCGUUGAAACUGGCGUUC
rnacentral:rRNA from 1 species